rnacentral:rRNA from 1 species
GAACCAGCCAUGCCGCGUGAAGGAUGACGGCCCUAUGGGUUGUAAACUUCUUUUAUAUGGGAAGGAACUUAUCUACGUGUAGAUAACUGACGGUACCAUACGAAUAAGGAUCGGCUAACUCCGUGCCAGCAGCCGCGGUAAUACGGAGGAUCCAAGCGUUAUCCGGAUUCAUUGGGUUUAAAGGGUCCGUAGGCGGAUUUUUAAGUCAGUGGUGAAAGCCGACAGCUCAACUGUCGAACUGCCAUUGAUACUGGAGAUCUUGAGUACAAAUGAAGUAGGCGGAAUAAGUCAUGUAGCGGUGAAAUGCAUAGAUAUGACUCAGAACACCAAUUGCGAAGGCAGCUUACUAACAUGUAACUGACGCUGAGGGACGAAAGCGUGGGGAGCGAACAGGAUUAGAUACCCUGGUAGUCCACGCCGUAAACGAUCAUCACUCGCUGUUGGCGAUAUACAGUCAGCGGCCAAGCGAAAGUA